AGUGAACGCUGGCGGUAGGCCUAACACAUUCAAGUCGAACGGCAGCACAGUAAGAGCUUGCUCUUACGGGUGGCGAGUGGCGGACGGGUGAGGAAUACAUCGGACUCUACUUUUUCGUGGGGGAUAACGUAGGGAAACUUACUCUAAUACCGCAUACGACCUACGGGUGAAAGCAGGGGAUCUUCGGACCUUGCGCGAUUGAAUGAGCCGAUGUCGGAUUAGCUAGUUGGCGGGGUAAAGGCCCACCAAGGCGACGAUCCGUAGCUGGUCUGAGAGGAUGAUCAGCCACACUGGAACUGAGACACGGUCCAGACUCCUACGGGAGGCAGCAGUGGGGAAUAUUGGACAAUGGGCGCAAGCCUGAUCCAGCCAUACCGCGUGGGUGAAGAAGGCCUUCGGGUUGUAAAGCCCUUUUGUUGGGAAAGAAAAGCAGCAGGUUAAUACCCCGCUGUUCUGACGGUACCCAAAGAAUAAGCACCGGCUAACUUCGUG
rnacentral:rRNA from 1 species